GAUGAACGCUGGCGGCGUGCCUAAUACAUGCAAGUCGAGCGAACGGACGAGAAGCUUGCUUCUCUGAUGUUAGCGGCGGACGGGUGAGUAACACGUGGAUAACCUACCUAUAAGACUGGGAUAACUUCGGGAAACCGGAGCUAAUACCGGAUAAUAUUUUGAACCGCAUGGUUCAAAAGUGAAAGACGGUCUUGCUGUCACUUAUAGAUGGAUCCGCGCUGCAUUAGCUAGUUGAUAAGGUAACGGCUUACCAAGGCAACGAUGCAUAGCCGACCUGAGAGGGUGAUCGGCCACACUGGAACUGAGACACGGUCCAGACUCCUACGGGAGGCAGUAGUAGGGAAUCUUCCGCAAUGGGCGAAAGCCUGACGGAGCAACGCCGCGUGAGUGAUGAAGGUCUUCGGAUCGUAAAACUCUGUUAUUAGGGAAGAACAUAUGUGUAAGUAACUGUGCACAUCUUGACGGUACCUAAUCAGAAAGCCACGGCUAACUACGUG
rnacentral:rRNA from 1 species